UAUAGUACCGUAAAAAUCGUGGAGUUAUUUCUAUUGAUUAGGGAAAAAGGUAGAAGAAUUUCUAAAAAAAAAACGAAGUGAAUUGAAGUAUCUUAUUAGCUUCAGGAAAAGAAAUCAAACGAGAUUCUAUUAGUAGUGUGAAUGAAAAUAGAUAUAGGCUUAAAGUAAAAUGGAUUCAUCUGUUUGAAUAUAGGGGAACCUUCCUCUAAGCCUAAAUAUAAUAUACAAGAAGUAGAGAAAAGUACUGUGAAGGAAAAAGAAAAUUAGUAGUCUUAUAAGCAGCUCAAGGUAAGUUUAAUAAACAUAUGAGAGCGUACCUUUUGUAUAAUGGGUCAGCAAGUUCUAGUUAGAUGCAAGCAAAUACGGAGAGAUUAUACGAGGUAUAGGAAAAUUAUUGUAAGAGUACUAAAAGAACCUAGGUGUGAAGGAAAUGAGAUAAUAAGAAUAGAACGUCAUAAUCCAUUUGCCUAGAUAAUCCAAUUAUUAAGUAAUGAAUUAGUAUCUAAUUAGAGACCCGAAGAGUAGUGAUCUUACCAUGGUCAGGCUUAUAAAAGGCCGAAUGGGUUAUCGUUGUAAAGAUAUCCAAAGAACUGUGGUAAGUUAGUGAAAGACAAUCCUGACUACUAUAGCUGGUUUUCCGCGAAACAUAUGUAAGUAUGUAGUUUAAAGCACAUCAUAGCAGGUACAGAACUGUAAUCUCGGACAACUUGUGCAGUAUUAUUCUUUAGGUAUUUAUACCUAUAAGGGUUGUAAGGCCUUGUGCAUAUGGGGGGGUCGUGAAGACUCUAUUCGCGAGUAUUUGCUCUCGGAAGGGCAAUGAUGAAUGUUGAACUAUCAGACAUUUAACGAUAAGGUUGUGUGUCAAAAGGGAAACAGCCCAGAACAAGUGUUUAAGGUUCCAAAGUUUUUGUUAAGUGAAAGUAAGGAAGUAUUUAAACUAUACAACCAGGAAAUAGGCUUAGAAGCGGCCAUUUUUUAAAGACCUCGUAACAGAGCACUGGUUCAAAGGGUUAGUUAUAACCUAAUUAGUUAAAAGCGCCGAAGAUAUAGCGGAUCUAAAACAAAACACCGACACCUUGUCCAUAAUAAUAUUAGGGUAAAUCCUAGUUUAAUAUACUUAAAGGUUAUUUAAGUAUUAUUUAUGGGGUAGCGGAACAUUGGGUAAAUAGGAUUGAUAUAGAUAAUACCUCUCACAAAGCAGUUUAUUAAUUUAUAAAGUAAGCGAGUAGUAUAGUGAGGGAGGAAUGGUAUUUUAAUAAUUACAUUGGUAAUUGUUAGCGCUUUUAAGCGUUUUUCCAUAAAUAUCCCAAGUGAGAAUGCUGACACGAGUAACGAAAAAGAGAAAAGGAAAGAGUAGGAAUAAACUAAAAAGAUGACCGAAUCCGGCCCUUACAGGGCCCUCUCGCCUUAAGCUUAUGGGAAAGUGAAUCGGUCUCUAAAUUUAACCUAAAGGAUAAAAUGAUGAGGAGAAUUGGAUGGGACAACAUGAAAUUGAGUAAAAUGUUCUGGAAAAGCAUCUGAUAAACACAUAAAUAAGGAAGGAGAAAUUUUGGUAUAAACGAAUUAGAAUAUACUAAAACUUUCUUUUUAUAGGGAAUAAACUAAAUAGAUGAAACUAGUUUCCUUGAAAAAAAAAAACACCGUACCUAAAAACUACCACAAGUAAGCUAGUAGAGAAUACGAAGGCGUUUGAGAUAACAACCAUUAAGGAACUCGGCAAAUUGACACCGUAACUGAGGGAGAAGGUGUGCCAUUCCUGCUGAUUAAUAUCAGUUUAGGAAGAGGAGACAUAAAAUGGUGUUGCACGACUGUUUAAUUAAAACACAGCACUCUGCGUAAGAUGUAAAUCAAAGUAUAGAGUGCGCUAUCUGCCCAAUGAUGGCUGGUUAACGGAUUUACUUAGACGACUAAAAUAGGCUAGGUUUUGAAGGAACCCCCAUUUAAUGGCGGCCUUACCUAUAAGGGUCCUAAGGUAGCGAAAUACCUUGGCAUUUAAAUGAUGUCGCGCAUGAAUGAUCUCACGAUGCAACAGCUGUCUCAAUGGUUGGCUCAGUGAAACUGGAAUGGCAGUGAAGAUACUGCCUAUCUCUAGAUAGACGAGAAGACCCCAUGCAGCUUUACUGUUACUAGUUAUAGGGUAUAAUUAACAGGUUUUAGGGAAUAAGGUAGUUGAAAGACAAAAUUGAAACACCUUUACUCUGGUUGUUAUAUCAGUAGAAUAGGUUACAUUGUAACCGAUGUCUGAAUGUAAUCCAUAAAAAGAGGAAGAUAAAACUCAGGAGACAAUAGCUAGCAGAUGGUUUAUGCGGGGCACAGAUCCCAUAAAGAGUACCUGGGAGUAUCCAAAUUUAUUUUUGUAAUAGGCUAUACGCAAAUUAUAUAAGGCUUUAAAAUAAUUGCCUUAUAUUUUUGAAUUUUUUAAUUAUUAUAUUUAGUUUGUUAUUUUUUAUAUUUACCAUUUUUUUUAUGGUAUCUAUAACUAAUUCAGUUAUAUUUCUAUUUAAGUUAGAACUAAAACAAUUUAAUAUAAGUAAGAUUUUACCUAUGUGGAAAAUAGGUGUAUAUAUAGUACCAAUAAACAGCAGCGCUUGCGAUGUUAGUUAUAACACUAUUAGUUAUUUUUUUUAGAAAAAUGAUGUUGAUAUAUACUUCCAAAGUUUAAUGGCUUAAUCUUGCUUUACUGUUUGACAUACACGUCUAUCAGUUGCGUAAGCAGGGCAUAAAGACCGCAAGACGCAGUAAGGAAAGGUCUUGUAUUAUUGAAAAAGCUACGCUGGGGAUAACAGGCUAAUUGCGCCAGAGAGUACAAAUUGAGUGCGCAGUUUGGCACCUCGAUGUCGGCUUAGCUCAUCCACAUGAAUGCAGGAAUCAUGAAGGGUACGACUGUUCGUCGAUUAAAGAGCUACACGAGCUGGGUUAAAUACGUCGUGAGACAGUAUGGUUUCUAUCUUCUAGAGAAAUUUGAGUAAAAUAAGGAUAGCCCCUUCGUACGAAAGGAGUUGGGUAUGGUAACCUAUGGUUUACCUGUUGUUUAUGCGCUUAAUAUUAAUCUUAGGAAUUGAGGUGAGAAUAGGUUUUCUUUUGUAAAGAGAUGGGAAUCUACUGAAAAAAGAGAGUAAUAAAGAUGAAGUUAGUUAAAUUCAUUUCCUAUUUGAACACAUAGACUAUAAAUGGUAAUACUUUUAUACUCAAGUAUCUAUUGAUAGCAUAGGCAUGGCAGGAAAGCUAUGUUAGUUAAGAUAAGUGCUGAAUGCAUCUAGGCACGAAGCUUACCUUAGGAUACUCUUAGUUACGUAGUAUAACAUUACGAAUUCAGAAUAUCCAUACGAUUACAAAGAGUUCAUUCUCAUUGACAAUAUGGAUAGGAAAUUAUAGGCUUUGGCUGAAAGGGCUUUGAUGUUCUCAGGUAUAAAGUACUAAUACUAAAAAGAGGAUGACAUU
rfam:Phaeosphaeria nodorum SN15 mitochondrion, complete genome.